AUUGAACGCUGGCGGCAGGCCUAACACAUGCAAGUCGAACGAGUGGCGGACGGGUGAGUAAUGUCUGGGAAACUGCCUGAUGGAGGGGGAUAACUACUGGAAACGGUAGCUAAUACCGCAUACCAUCAGAGGUGCCCAGAUGGGAUUAGCUUGUUGGUGGGGUAAAGGCCUACCAAGGCGACGAUCCGUAGCUGGUCUGAGAGGAUGACCGGCCACACUGGGACUGAGACACGGCCCAGACUCCUCCGGGAGGCAGCAGUGGGGAAUUUUGGACAAUGGGCGAAAGCCUGAUCCAGCCAUGCCGCGUGUGUGAAGAAGGUCUUCGGAUUGUAAAGCACUUUAAUUUGGGAGGCGUUACCCGCAGAAGAAGCACCGGCUAACUCCGUGCCAGCAGCCGCGGUAAUUC
rnacentral:rRNA from 1 species